rnacentral:rRNA from 1 species
CUCAAAGGAAUUGACGGGGACCCGCACAAGCAGCGGAGCAUGUGGUUUAAUUCGAAGCAACGCGAAGAACCUUACCUAGACUUGACAUCUCCUGAAUUACUCUUAAUCGAGGAAGUCCCUUCGGGGACAGGAAGACAGGUGGUGCAUGGUUGUCGUCAGCUCGUGUCGUGAGAUGUUGGGUUAAGUCCCGCAACGAGCGCAACCCUUAUUGUUAGUUGCUACUAUUAAGUUAAGCACUCUAACGAGACUGCCGCGGUUAACGUGGAGGAAGGUGGGGAUGACGUCAAAUCAUCAUGCCCCUUAUGUCUAGGGCUACACACGUGCUACAAUGGCUGGUACAACGAGCAGCAAACCCGCGAGGGGGAGCAAAACUUGAAAGCCAGUCCCAGUUCGGAUUGUAGGCUGAAACUCGCCUACAUGAAGUUGGAGUUGCUAGUAAUCGCGAAUCAGCAUGUCGCGGUGAAUACGUUCCCGGGUCUUGUACACACCGCCCGUCACACCAUGAGAGCCGGUAACACCCGAAGCCCGUGAGGUAACCGUAAGGAGCCAGCGGUCGAAGGUGGGAUUGGUGAUUGGGGUGAAGUCGUAACAAGGUAGCCGUAGGAGAACCUGCGGCUGGAUCACCUCCUUUCUA